rnacentral:lncRNA from 1 species
GUUUGGGCAAAUUUAGUUGGCCUGUCUUUAAACUCGCUGCUUCUUUCUUCAGCUGUGUUGAGUCUGCUGGUGAGCUUGUCACAGACCGUCAACCCAAUGAGCAGUGAGACAAUUCUGGACUCUCAUUUCAUCCACAGUGACCCAGGCACCCAAUUAUUGAAUGCUUUUAGAAGUCUUCUCAAAUGAAUCUCUAUGAACAGCAGUAAUAACGGUCUCAGGUCUGAAGUCCACUGCGGUCAGCCUUCCCUGGUGGUGAGCUGCUGUCAGAACCUCCCCACUACUCCUCUGGGUGGCCCCAGUCUUGUGCCUAUUUCCCUCUCGUGGUCAUCAAGUCUCGCCCAGGUAAGUGACCUGCCCACAAGGGACAUUCUGCUUGAGAGCCUUUUAAAAAGUCAGGUUUAUUAUGGCAUAACUUAAACAGUAAAGUACAGUUGGAUGGGUUUUGACAAAUGCAUGUGGCCCUGAAACCAGUACCACAAUUUAGAUACAAUAUUUUUGUCACCUUAGAAAGUCCCAUUGGGCCCCUUGGAACUCAAUUCCCUUCUCCACCCUCAGCCAUAUACAGUAGGUAAUGAAUAUUUGAUUAGCAAAUAUUUAGUCACCUAUUAGACAAAGUGAGUUCUAAUGUCCAGUAACAAGAACUCAGUCCAAAUGCCACAGGAACAAAGAAACCAGCCAUUUAACCUACCAAACACAAAAUACACCAGGAAAAAACAGGACAAAAAAAAAGCAAGAGGGAAACAAAUGUUUUAAUAAAAUAAUUGCAUUUUGCAAAACCGUAAACUCCUAAGCCUUCUGAAAAAGUCUGGAAGUUCCCUUCAGAAUAUCUAUAGAAGAUCCUGUCU